GAUGAACGCUAGCGGCAGGCCUAAUACAUGCAAGUCGAACGGUGUCCUCGGACAUAGUGGCGCACGGGUGCGUAACACGUAUGCAACCUACCUUACAUUGGGGGAUAGCCUUUCGAAAGGGAGAUUAAUACCGCAUAAGACAGUAGCUGGGCAUCCAGCAGCUGUUAAAGAUUUAUCGAUGUAAGCUGGGCAUGCGUCCAAUUAGCUAGUUGGUGAGGUAACGGCUCACCAAGGCAAUGAUUGGUAGGGGAACUGAGAGGUCAAUCCCCCACACUGACACUGAGAUACGGGCCAGACUCCUACGGGAGGCAGCAGUAGGGAAUAUUGGGCGAUGGACGCAAGUCUGACCCAGCCAUGCCGCGUGCAGGAUGAAGGCGUUAUGCGUUGUAAACUGCUUUUAUACAGGAAGAAACGACUCUUGCGAGAGGCAUUGACGGUACUGUAUGAAUAAGCACCGGCUAACUCCGUGCCAGCCGCCGCAGUAAGAC
rnacentral:rRNA from 1 species